rnacentral:rRNA from 1 species
GCAAGUCGAGCGCACCCCUUCGGGGGCGAGCGGCGGACGGGUUAGUAACGCGUGGGAACAUACCCAAUGGUACGGAAUAGCCUCGGGAAACUGAGAGUAAUACCGUAUGUGCCCUUCGGGGGAAAGAUUUAUCGCCUUUGGAUUAGCCCGCGUAAGAUUAGAUAGUUGGUGGGGUAAUGGCCUACCAAGUCUACGAUCUUUAGCUGGUUUGAGAGGAUGAUC